rnacentral:tRNA from 1 species
GACCGCGUAGCUCAGUCGGAAGAGCAUUGGGCUAGUAUUCCAAAGGUCGUAGGUUCGAAUCCCACUGUGGCCG